GAUGAAGAACGCAGCGAAAUGCGAUACGUAAUGUGAAUUGCAGAAUUCAGUGAAUCAUCGAAUCUUUGAACGCAUAUUGCGCUCUUUGGUAUUCCGAAGAGCAUGCUUGUUUGAGUAUCAGUAAACACCUCAAAGACUUCAAUUUGUUUUGAAUGGCUUUGGACUUGAGCAAUCCCAACACCAGUCUUCACGAUCGGUGGAGGGUUGCUUGAAAUGCAGGUGCAGCUGGACAUUCUCCUGAGCUAAAAGCAUAUUUAUUUAGUCCCGUCAAACGGAUUAUUACUUUUGCUGCAGCUAACAUAAAGGGAGUUUGACCGUAUUGGCUGACUGAUGCAGGAUUUCACAAGGGUCGGCAACGAUUCUUGUAAAACUCGAUCUCAAAUCAAGUAAGACUACCCGCUGAACUUAAGCAUAUCAAUAAGCGGAGGA
rnacentral:misc_RNA from 1 species